UAUCACUGAUCUCGGUCCCUGCAUCUUGUAAUGAAGGGUGCAAAUCCCCAAAUGACCUGGGGAAGUCAGAGGAAAAAUAUUUAACUUAAAUCUCUCACUAGUCCUUGAAAUAUUGGACUCACCACCUGCAAGAUAUUUUGGGGAUUGCUUCAUGUGAAAACGGAAGCUAAAGCCUUCUAAUUUUCCACUAUUUCCACUCACCUAGGGAAUACCCAGGAAUUCCAGCCUCAAUAGUCAGAGGAGUUUAUUAUCUCCCUUUUCCAUGGAUGAGCAACAUCCUGGGAGCAAACAGAUGAUACCGUGUCUCAGGGAAUGGGUGCCAGAGAACCUCAGGGUGCUGUGGGACUCUGCACUGCCCGGGGUGCUGUCAUUACAUGUACAGAUCUUUCUAGCACAUACCAGAGGCCAGAGUCUGGUAAUCUGCCCUACAGCCCCAGGUAAACCUACUGUUUCAGCAGACUUUUGACUUAGAGUUAAGUGCCUGGAUCAAAACUCCCUCCUUAUUCCCAUUGUGUUUAUGAUUUGCUGCUUCUCUACCACAGCAAAUCAUAAAACAGCCUGAGCCUACCUACUGCAUAUGACAGAGAGGUAACAAGGCAGAACUUAAAGAAAAUGCCAUUUCUGCUGUUCCUGCUACCUGCUGUCAGGAAUGAGCUAGCAGGUUGCCAAUGAAAUCCAGUUUAAGGGAGGAUAAAAAUGAUUGCUCCAAGUGUUAUCACAGGAAUGGCUUCCAUGAUGUAUUAGAGACGCUGGUGCCUUUCCCUCAGCUCCAAGGACACAGCUGCAAGGGGAACUCUGCUCUUCACACUGUGCAACAACUCCAAAUCAGCCAAUGGUGCAAACGUUACCUGCAAACAUGUGUUCACCUCGAGGUACAAAUGACCCACUGAGCCCAAGGAAAAGGAUAAUGCCAAUGUCUGCUGAAGUGAUUUGUAGUGACACAAGCUCAGCUAGGUAACACUUGUUAUUAUAUAUAUGCCAGUGUGGUAUUUGUUUGGCUUUCACUUUGAUGAAUCAUAGCUCUAGAGAAUAUCUCAGUAAAUCAGUGACACCUGCAUAAGAAGAAAAUAAUUUUUCUUCAUAGUAGAAGAAAAGCUAACAUUUGGAAAAGUGUCAAGGAGUCAGUAUAGACUGACUUUGUGCAGUACACCAAAGGCCAUUUGCAUGUGGCCCAGUGCAUUCUCAGCUUUCUGAAAAGUCAAUCUCCACAUGCCUAAUGAUCUAGAAAUAUUUAAAACUGAUAACUAAUCCAGAAUUGAUAGCAAUGUAACUGUAUUGACCUUAACAGUCCUCUUCUUUAGUUUAUGAAGACCAAAUUCUGAGUUAAUCCAUGGGAAAGGAAAUACCAAAAUGAUAAGUGUACUGAUUCGGGUUCUAACACUGAGUCAAUAAGAAGAAGAAAAUUCUAUUGUACCUCACCUUCCUCAUCAGUAUUUCCUGAGUAACCAGCCUAUGGAAAAGGCAUAGUAAAUUUGCAUACUUACACCUCUGGUUUUCUAUUACAAGUAUUGCCCUGUUAGCAGUAUUUAGGUACAUGCUCAUAUUUAGAAAAUGCACAUCUAUUCACUGGUAAACAGCUCAUAAAAACUUUAUUUAAUAGAAUGUCUAGAGCAAAAGUGAUGGCAAUUACAGCUACUCUAUUUUAAAGACUGUCUUGAGAAUAGCAGUUGAAAACACUAUAUAAAGAUUGGUGUAAUAUUAUUAUUUUGUCAUUACAGCACUUUUUUUUGAAGAUGACAUAGUAAAUGAAAUAUAUGGAGUGGGAAUAUUUUCAUAGUAAAUUAAUGAUGGCUUUAUUUUACCAGUCAUGGUCUAAUUCCAGAUGAGUGCCACUGUGAGAGGAGUAGCUAAUUUGAUGUAGCAGAGGUCAAAAACCCAGCAGACUGAAUCUAUACAAGGGUGACAUGCCUGAAUGUGACAGAAGAGCUUACUACCAUAUACAUGCAUUUAAACAUCUGAUAAUGUCUACAGUUUCACAGUGUCUUGGCUGAAUGAAGUAUCAGAGUGCCUGUGCAACACCUAAAGAUCUUUGGAUCUAUAAGGAGGAUGGAACCUAACCUGUGGUCAUCAGUUACUAAGAACAUUACAAGCUCAAAAUGAACAAAAUGAUACUGAAUCUGAAUCCUACUUGAAUGGCAUCAUGUACUGCAUUCACAUUCUGAAUAGAGAAACUAAUUCCAUAUGAAGUACACUUACUGCAGAUGCCUUCCCAUUGAAACUGAGACACUCUGCAUUUACAGUUUUGUGAAAUGUUCUAGUUUCAAAUUAAUUAUAAAGGGGAACAAAGAAGUCCAUCUACAGGAAAAAAUACUCCAUUGUUGUGAAGACUCUCUCCAAUAUAGCAGCAGCUCCAUUUGAACAAGUAAUCACUGAUUCCUUUAGGGACACAGCAACUCUUACCAAGAUAUGUAGCAGGACUGAAGGAAGCUGACAGGACAAACCGAAACACAGUGCCUGUUUAUAUAAAUAGAAAAGGAUUAUAUAAAUGCUAGUGGACAUUAAAUAAAAUCAUGAUCAGCCAAUUUGUCUACACCUUAGGACACAAACUGACCACACUUGUUGGGGUUUUUUGCCCCAAGUGAAAAAACCUAUAAGGCUCAUUACUUUACAUACAAAAUCUGUGAAGUUUUACUGGCAUGCUCAGAACAUACAACCAGGUAUGAAUGUUGAUUAGUGCCUUGGUCCAUGGACUGAUAUUCAGAGAAUCCAGGUCUAAGUCCAAGAUAAAUUGUUGU